AGUGAACCACUGAGCUCGCACUGUAGCCAGUCCUGUGUGCCCCUGCUGGAUUCUGCUUCUAUGAGGGAGGCAGCAAGGAGUUGGGACUUCACAGGUGAAAGGACUUGCCAGGGUCUUACUUUGUCGCCCAGGCUGGAGUACAGUGGCAUGAUCGUAGCUCAUUGCAGCCUCCACCUCCCUGGGCUCAGGAGAUCCAUCUCAGCCUCCUGAGUAGCUGGGACCACAGGUUUUGUUCAGGUUUAGCACAAGCUGUGAUGAAUAUCUUCAAGCCUCUGCUUCCUGCUGUGGAAUUGUUGCCAAAGGACACAUUCCCAGAUGGGAUUACUGAGUCAGAGGAAGUGGACAUUGAGUGGCUCUCAACAGACAGGCUGUGUUGCUCUCACAGUGCCCAGGUACCACCAGCAAUGUAUACACAUACAGGAAGCGCCGGCUUCCCUGUUGUCUUGUUGCUGUGGCGUGUUGGGGUCUCUAAGACCACCCUGGGUUUGUUGAUUGGCUAGGAGAACUCGCAGAACUCAGCAUACAGUGAUACUCGAGGCUAUGAUGUAUUACGACAACUGGAAAUGAAGCAAAU
rnacentral:lncRNA from 1 species